rnacentral:rRNA from 1 species
GGGAACUACGAGCCAAGCUUAAAACCCAAAGGACUUGACGGUACCCCAUAUCCCCCUAGAGGAGCCUGUCCUAUAAUCGAUAACCCCCGUUCAACCUCACCAUUUCUAGCAACUCAGCCUGUAUACCUCCGUCGUCAGCUUACCACGUGAGCGCUAGUGAGCUCAAUGUUUUUUCAACUAAACGUCAGGUCAAGGUGCAACACAUGAGAUGGGAAGAGAUGGGCUACACUUUCUAGCAUAGACCACACGAAAGACUAACUAUGAAAUCUAGUCGGAAG